GUUUGAUCAUGGCUCAGAAUGAACGCUGGCGGCGUGCUUAACACAUGCAAGUCGAACGAGAAACCCCGGCUUGCCGGGGGAGUAAAGUGGCGCACGGGUGAGUAACGCGUGGGUAAUCUACCCUCGAAUUGGGGAUAACACAUCGAAAGGUGUGCUAAUACCGAAUAAGACCACGGCGGCCUUGGCCGCUGGGGUCAAAGAUGGCCUCUGCUUGCAAGCUGUCGUUUGAGGAUGAGCCCGCGUCCCAUUAGCUAGUUGGUAGGGUAAUGGCCUACCAAGGCGACGAUCCGUAGCUGGUCUGAGAGGAUGAUCAGCCACACUGGGACUGAGACACGGCCCAGACUCCUACGGGAGGCAGCAGUGGGGAAUAUUGGACAAUGGGGGCAACCCUGAUCCAGCCAUACCGCGUGUGUGAAGAAGGCCUUAGGGUUGUAAAGCAUUUUCAGUGGGGAGGAAAAGUCGCCGGCGAAUACCCGGCGACCGUGACGCUACCUGCAGAAGAAGCACCGGCAAACUCCGUGCCAGCAGCCGCGGUAAUACGGAGGGUGCGAGCGUUAAUCGGAAUUACUGGGCGUAAAGCGCGCGUAGGCGGUUUGGUAAGCUGGAUGUGAAAGCCCUGGGCUCAACCUGGGAACUGCAUCCAGAACUGGCAGGCUAGAGUAUGGUAGAGGACAGUGGAAUUUCCGGUGUAGCGGUUGAAAUGCGUAGAGAUCGGAAGGAGCACCUGUGGCGAAGGCUACUGUCUGGACCAAUACUGACGCUGAGGUGCGAUAGUUGGUUAUCAUAUCUGUAUUAGAUACCCUGUUAGUCCACCCCGUUUUUGAUGUCAUCUAUCCUUGGG
rnacentral:rRNA from 1 species